rnacentral:rRNA from 1 species
AGAGUUUGAUCCUGGCUCAGGAUGAACGCUGGCGGCGUGCUUAACACAUGCAAGUCGAACGAGCCUUCGGGCUAGUGGCGGACGGGUGAGUAACGCGUGGGAAUCUGCCCUCAGGAGGGGGAUAACGGCCGGAAACGGCCGCUAAUACCCCAUAUGCCGAGAGGUGAGACGAAAUUCGCCUGGGGAUGAGCCCGCGUCUGAUUAGCUAGUUGGUGUGGUAAUGGCGCACCAAGGCAUCGAUCGGUAGCUGGUCUGAGAGGAUGAUCAGCCACACUGGGACUGAGACACGGCCCAGACUCCUACGGGAGGCAGCAGUGGGGAAUUUUCCGCAAUGGGCGCAAGCCUGACGGAGCAACGCCGCUUGAGGGACGAAGGCCUCUGGGCUGUAAACCUCUUUUCUCAAGGAAGAAGACAUGACGGUACUUGAGGAAUAAGCCACGGCUAAUUCCGUGCCAGCAGCCGCGGUAAUACGGGAGUGGCAAGCGUUAUCCGGAAUUAUUGGGCGUAAAGCGUCCGCAGGCGGCCUUGAAAGUCUGUUGUUAAAGCGUGGAGCUCAACUCCAUUUCAGCAAUGGAAACUACAAGGCUAGAGUGUGGUAGGGGCAGAGGGAAUUCCCGGUGUAGCGGUGAAAUGCGUAGAUAUCGGGAAGAACACCAGUGGCGAAGGCGCUCUGCUGGGCCAUAACUGACGCUCAUGGACGAAAGCCAGGGGAGCGAAAGGGAUUAGAUACCCCUGUAGUCCUGGCCGUAAACGAUGAACACUAGGUGUCGGGAGAAUUAACCCUUUCGGUGUCGUAGCCAACGCGUUAAGUGUUCCGCCUGGGGAGUACGCACGCAAGUGUGAAACUCAAAGGAAUUGACGGGGGCCCGCACAAGCGGUGGAGUAUGUGGUUUAAUUCGAUGCAACGCGAAGAACCUUACCAGGGUUUGACAUCCUGCGAAUCCCUUGGAAACUUGGGAGUGCCUUCGGGAGCGCAGUGACAGGUGGUGCAUGGCUGUCGUCAGCUCGUGUCGUGAGAUGUUGGUUUAAGUCCCGCAACGAGCGCAACCCACGUCUUUAGUUGCCAGCAUUCAGUUGGGCACUCUAGAGAGACCGCCGGUGAUAAACCGGAGGAAGGUGUGGAUGACGUCAAGUCAUCAUGCCCCUUACAUCCUGGGCUACACACGUACUACAAUGCUACGGACAAAGGGCAGCAAACUCGCGAGAGCUAGCAAAUCCCAUAAACCGUGGCUCAGUUCAGAUCGUAGGCUGCAACUCGCCUACGUGAAGGAGGAAUCGCUAGUAAUCGCAGGUCAGCAUACUGCGGUGAAUACGUUCCCGGGCCUUGUACACACCGCCCGUCACACCAUGC